ensembl:lncRNA
CGAGCUCAGGCUACCUCAGCGAGAGUGAGGGGUCGAGAGCGAGAGAAGGAAGACGCUCUCUGCGAGCCAGAGAGAGCGUCUUAUGACCAAGUGACGGACGGAAUGAACAUUCAACGUUGUCCUUUUUGUAAUUGUGACGUUGUGUUUGUUUGCCCGAAGUGGGAAUAAACAGGAGUUCGCUCCGUUUCACCUAAGAACUGUGUCCCGACUCCUGUGAACCCGUUACAGUGGAGCCCAACGUAGUAGGAGUCGAUUAUGGAACAAUCGCCAUUGGCCAGUGUCCUCGGACACCUGGCACAAACAGCAGAGCGUCAGACCCAGCUACAGCAGGGUCUGACGGGGGGUGACCGAGGUCUCAGAGUGGCCGCCGUAGGAGUGGGCCCACCGUCUCCUGCCGGCAGCCCAGAAGGACUUUGACACCGUCGCAAGGGCUAUCUGGGGACCGUUUGGGCCUAAACCCGGAGGAACAUCGCCGCCGGUUCCGGGCCCUGGCCUUCACCGACGGCGACCGGCCCUUCACCUACGCCCAGCAGCUGUGGGACCAGUGAGGGGUUGAGAGAGAGAAGGAAGACGCUCUCUGCGAGCCAGAGAGAGCGUCGUAUGACCAAGGGACGGACGGAAUGAACAUUCGACAUGGUCCUUUUUGUACUUGUGACGUUGUGUUUGUUUGCCCUAAGUGGAAAUAAACAGGAGUUCACUCCAUUUCACCUAAGAA